GAGGGUAUAGCUCAAGUGGUAGAGUGUGUGCUUAGCAUGCAUGAGGUCCUAGGUUCAAGCCCCAGUACCUCUU
rnacentral:tRNA from 1 species